rfam:Schistosoma haematobium scaffold429_13, whole genome shotgun sequence.
AUUGCCUGACGAAUCCCAAACAGGACGAAACGCGCAUCCUGGAU